CACGUAGGGCGCAAGCGUUGUCCGGAAUUAUUGGGCGUAAAGAGCUCGUAGGCGGUCUGUUGCGUCCGCUGUGAAAACUCGGGGCUUAACCCCGAGCCUGCAGUGGAUACGGGCAGACUAGAGGUAGGUAGGGGAGAAUGGAAUUCCUGGUGUAGCGGUGAAAUGCGCAGAUAUCAGGAGGAACACCAGUGGCGAAGGCGGCUCACUGGACCGGUACUGACGCUGAGGCGCGAAAGCGUGGGGAGCGAACAGG
rnacentral:rRNA from 1 species